ensembl:lncRNA
GCAGCGGUCAAAUAUUUGCUCAACCCUCGAGCUUCCACAAAAUAUUCGCCACGAAUCAAGAUCGAACAUUGGUUUUGAUACUCCCGCCACAGGGGCGGUUACUUUUCACUCGUGAGUAAAACCCAACCUUAUUGGCUCUUCGUUGGCAUGGUGACAUGUUGGACGAAUCUCUUUGUUUUCGCUAUCCAAUGAAGAAGGACAUGCUCUAAACUCUUUCCAUUUGGGGGUUACUCUCGGUCAUAGAUCAACAGGUUCUUUGCAUACAGGUGUGAAAUCUUAACCAGGUUACAGUAAUUUACAUUCUAUUGUCCUAAUCUAGACUAGAACAUCAGGGGGUUGGAGACAGAAGGUCUCUUUGUGCUGUAUAGGGGGCAGUUUCAUUUGUAUGUUAAUUGUGGGGUUUCAAUCCUGUCUCUCUAUCUGAGCCAGGUGUAAAGUCUGAGUGAGUGUGGCUGAGUGUAAUGUAUGGAGUUCUAAACUUUUUAUGGUUAUUGUAUUCAAUCAUAUUUCCCUAACCGGCUGCAGCAUACACUUUAAUAAAACAAAAACAUAAGAAUACAUGGUUAUUAAAUCAGCAUUAUUUAAACUUCAUUUAUCUCAACAGUAGCCAGCUAAGUUUUUGUCUAUCCUGACCCAAAAAGCAUGCAUAAAUGCGUACUUCAAAAAUCUACCAGAAAUAGUCACAACAUAACCCUAGUUUUAUUUCAGGCUUAUUAUAAUCUGAAUACUGAAGGUUAUAGCCCAGUUUUUGUCUAUAAGGAACAAAUGUAAAUGCAGACUUUGUCUUGACUGUGAGGAGAUUCGGUCGGGGGACCUAUAGCUUGCAGGUACACUUCUCUUUCUACUUACGCUAUUUAACACGGCCGGUCGGUGGGUGAGUGAGUUACAUUAGCACUUCUAGGCCGCCUCCGCUUAAGCAGUCCGGCAAAAAGUAUUUGGUCCCAGGUAUUAUCCUGACAGUUUUACAUAAUUACGUGCGCAAUAAUGACGCCCUAGACAUUCGUCUGUCGUGUGAUUUGGGGGGUAAAACCCAAAACACACGACAGACAUACCUCAACAGCAUCAUUAUUGCGCACGUAAUUUUGAAGUGGUCAAUUCACGAGUGACAAC